CAGUUCGGAUUGUAGUCUGCAACCCGACUACAUGAAGCUGGAAUCGCUAGUAAUCGCGGAUCAGAAUGUCGCGGUGAAUACGUUCCCGGGUCUUGUACACACCGCCCGUCACACCAUGGGAGUCAGCAACGCCCGAAGUCAGUGACCUAACCGAAAGGAAGGAGCUGCCGAAGGCGGGGCCGGUAACUGGGGUGAAGUCGUAACAAGGUACC
rnacentral:rRNA from 1 species